rnacentral:rRNA from 1 species
UACGUAGGGUGCAAGCGUUAAUCGGAAUUACUGGGCGUAAAGCGUGCGCAGGCGGCUUUGCAAGAACAGAUGUGAAAUCCCCGGGCUUAACCUGGGAACUGCAUUUGUGACUGCAUGGCUGGAGUGCGGCAGAGGAGGAUGGAAUUCCGCGUGUAGCAGUGAAAUGCGUAGAUAUGCGGAGGAACACCGAUGGCGAAGGCAAUCCCCUGGGCCUGCACUGACGCUCAUGCACGAAAGCGUGGGGAGCAAACAGG